CGAUGUGUGCUAGACGUUGGAAACUUAGUUUUCAGUGUCGCAGCGAAAGCAUUAAGCACACCGCCUGGGGAGUACGACCGCAAGGUUAAAACUCAAAUGAAUUGACGGGGGCCCGCACAAGCGGUGGAGCAUGUGGUUUAAUUCGAUGCAACGCGAAAAACCUUACCUAUGCUUGACAUACUUGGAAUACUUUGUAAUGAAGUAGUGCCUUCGGGAGCCAAGAUACAGGUGCUGCAUGGCUGUCGUCAGCUCGUGUCGUGAGAUGUUCCGUUAAGUCGGAUAACGAGCGCAACCCUUACCCUUAUUUGCCAGCGAUUCGGUCGGGAACUAUAAGGGGACUGCCGGUGAUAAACCGGAGGAAGGUGAGGACGACGUCAAGUCAUCAUGGCCCUUACGCAUAGGGCUACACACGUGCUACAAUGGAGAAUACAGACGGACGCUAAGCCGCGAGGUGGUGCCAAUCCUAGAAAAUUCUUCGUAGUCCGGAUUGGAGUCUGCAACUCGACUCCAUGAAGCCGGAAUCGCUAGUAAUCGCGAAUCAGCAUGUCGCGGUGAAUACGUUCUCGGGUCUUGUACACACCGCCCGUCAUACCAUGGAAGUGGAUUGCACCAGAAGUAGAUAGUCUAACCUUAGGGAGGGCGUUUACCACGGUGUGGUUCAUGACUGGGGUAAAGUCGUAACAAGGUAACC
rnacentral:rRNA from 1 species